rnacentral:rRNA from 1 species
GACGAACGCUGGCGGCGUGCUUAACACAUGCAAGUCGAACGGAAAGGCCCUGCUUUUGUGGGGUGCUCGAGUGGCGAACGGGUGAGUAACACGUGAGUAACCUGCCCUUGACUUUGUGAUAACUUCAGGAAACUUGGGCUAAUACCGGAUAUGAGCUCCUGCUGCAUGGUGGGGGUUGGAAAGUUUCGGCGGUUGGGGAUGGACUCGCGGCUUAUCAGCUUGUUGGUGGGGUAGUGGCUUACCAAGGCUUUGACGGGUAGCCGGCCUGAGAGGGUGACCGGCGACAUUGGGACUGAGAGACGGCACAGACGCCUACGGGAGGCAGCAGUGGGGAAUAUUGCACAAUGGGCGGAAGCCUGAUGCAGAAACGCCGGGUGCGGGAUGACGGCCUUCGGGUUGUAAACCGAUUUCGCCUGUGACGAAGAGUGAGUGACGGUAAUGGGUAAAGAAGCACCGGCUAACUACGUG